AGAGUUUGAUCGUGGCUCAGAAUCAACGCUGGCGGCGUGCCUAACACAUGCAAGUCGAACGCGGUUAGUAGCAAUACUAACUGAGUGGCGAACGGGUGAGUAACACGUGGGUGACCUACCUUCGAGUGGGGGAUAACGUCCCGAAAGGGGCGCUAAUACCGCAUGACAUCCUGCCUUUGAACAGGUGGAGAUCAAAGCUGGGGAUCGCAAGACCCGGCGCUUGAUGAGGGGCCCGCGUCCGAUUAGCUAGUUGGUGAGGUAAUGGCUCACCAAAGGCGACGAUCGGUAUCCGGCCUGAGAGGGCGGACGGACACACUGGGACUGAGACACGGCCCAGACUCCUACGGGAGGCAGCAGUGGGGAAUUGUUCACAAUGGGCGCAAGCCUGAUGACGCAACGCCGCGUGGAGGAUGAAGGUCUUUCGGAUUGUAAAACUCCUGUUGCCAGGGACGAACGGCUCCGACCUAAUACGUCGGAGAAAUGAC
rnacentral:rRNA from 1 species